rnacentral:rRNA from 1 species
CACAGAGUUAGCCGGUGCUUAUUCUGUCGGUAACGUCAAAACAAUCACGUAUUAGGUAACUGCCCUUCCUCCCAACUUAAAGUGCUUUACAACCCGGAGACCUUCUUCACACACGCGGCAUGGCUGGAUCAGGCUUUCGCCCAUUGUCCAAUAUUCCCCA